UACGUAGGGGGCAAGCGUUGUCCGGAAUCAUUGGGCGUAAAGCGCGCGUAGGCGGUCCGGUAAGUCCGCUGUGAAAGUCGGGGGCUCAACCCUCGAAUGCCGGUGGAUACUGUCGGGCUAGAGUGCGGAAGAGGCGAGUGGAAUUCCUGGUGUAGCGGUGAAAUGCGCAGAUAUCAGGAGGAACACCAAUUGCGAAGGCAGCUCGCUGGGACGUAACUGACGCUGAGAACGCGAAAGCGUGGGGAGCAAACAGG
rnacentral:rRNA from 1 species